UAAAACUCAAAGGAAUUGACGGGGGCCCGCACAAGCGGCGGAGCAUGCGGAUUAAUUCGAUGCAACGCGAAGAACCUUACCAAGGCUUGACAUGAACCGGAAAUACCUGGAAACAGGUGCCCCGCUUGCGGUCGGUUUACAGGUGGUGCAUGGUUGUCGUCAGCUCGUGUCGUGAGAUGUUGGGUUAAGUCCCGCAACGAGCGCAACCCUCGUUCUAUGUUCCCAGCGCGUGAUGGCGGGGACUCAUAGGAGACUGCCGGGGUCAACUCGGAGGAAGGUGGGGACGACGUCAAAUCAUCAUCCCCCUUAUGUCUUGGGCUUCACGCAUGCUACAAUGGCCGGUACAAAGGGUUGCGAUACUGUGAGGUGGAGCUAAUCCCAAAAACCCGGUCUCAGUUCGGAUUGGGGUCUGCAACUCGACCCCAUGAAGUCGGAGUCGCUAGUAAUCGCAGAUCAGCAACGCUGCGGUGAAUACGUUCCCGGGCCUUGUACACACCCCCCGUCAAGUCACGAAAGUUGGUAACACCCGAAGCCGGUGGCCUAACCCCUUGUGGGAGGGAGCUGUCGAAGGUGGGACUGGCGAUUGGGAG
rnacentral:rRNA from 1 species